UUUGAAUAAAAGUAGUUAUAUUCUUCAUAACUCAAAGAAUUUGGCGGCUAACAGUAUUUAGAGGAAUUUGUAUUUUAAUCGAUAAACCACGUUAAGUUUUACUUUAAAUUUAUUUGUAUACCUCUAUAUAAUAUAGUGUUUAUUAGAAUAUUUUUUUUUUAUUUGAGUAAAAAAUUUAGGUCAAGGUGCAGUUUUUUAAAAGUUAAUAUGGGUUACUUUUUUUUAAAUAUUUAAAUUUUUUUAAAAAUUUUUUUAGGAUUUAAAAGAAAUUUAAAUUUAUUUAUUUAUUUGAAUAUU
rnacentral:rRNA from 1 species